rnacentral:rRNA from 1 species
AUUGAACGCUGGCGGCAUGCCUUACACAUGCAAGUCGAACGGUAACGGGCCUUCGGGUGCCGACGAGUGGCGAACGGGGGAGUAAUACAUCGGAACGUGCCCGAUCGUGGGGGGUAACGAGGCGAAAGCUUUGCUAAUACCGCAUACGAUCUACGGAUGAAAGCAGGGGACCGCAAGGCCUUGCGCGGACGGAGCGGCCGAUGGCAGAUUAGGUAGUUGGUGGGAUAAAAGCUUACCAAGCCGACGAUCUGUAGCUGGUCUGAGAGGAUGAUCAGCCACACUGGGACUGAGACACGGCCCAGACUCCGACGGGAGGCAGCAGUGGGGAAUUUUGGACAAUGGGCGCAAGCCUGAUCCAGCCAUGCCGCGUGCAGGAUGAAGGCCUUCGGGUUGUAAACUGCUUUUGUACGGAAGGAAAAGCCUUCUUUUAAUACAGGAGGGUCAUGACGGUACCGGAAGAAUAAGCACCGGCUAACUACGUG